rnacentral:rRNA from 1 species
GACGAACGCUGGCGGCGUGCCUAAUACAUGCAAGUAGAACGCACAGUUUAUACCGUAGCUUGCUACACCAUAGACUGUGAGUUGCGAACGGGUGAGUAACGCGUAGGUAACCUGCCUGGUAGCGGGGGAUAACUAUUGGAAACGAUAGCUAAUACCGCAUAAUAUUGAUUAUUGCAUGACAAUUAAUUGAAAGGUGCAAUUGCACCACUACCAGAUGGACCUGCGUUGUAUUAGCUAGUAGGUGAGGUAACGGCUCACCUAGGCGACGAUACAUAGCCGACCUGAGAGGGUGAUCGGCCACACUGGGACUGAGACACGGCCCAGACUCCUACGGGAGGCAGCAGUAGGGAAUCUUCGGCAAUGGACGAAAGUCUGACCGAGCAACGCCGCGUGAGUUAAGAAGGUUUUCGGAUCGUAAAGCUCUGUUGUAAGAGAAGAACGGGUGUGAGAGUGGAAAGUUCACACUGUGACGGUAUCUUACCAGAAAGGGACGGCUAACUACGUG